rnacentral:rRNA from 1 species
AGAGUUUGAUCAUGGCUCAGGACGAACGCUGGCGGCGUGCUUAACACAUGCAAGUCGAACGGUAAGCAUCCUUUCGGGGGUGCACGAGUGGCGAACGGGUGAGUAACACGUGAGUAAUCUGCCCUUGACUCUGGAAUAAGCAUUCGAAAGGGUGUCUAAUACUGGAUAUUCAGCUUCUGUCGCAUGGUGGGGGUUGGAAAGAUUUUUUUGGUCAGGGAUGGGCUCGCGGCCUAUCAGCUUGUUGGUGAGGUAAUGGCUUACCAAGGCGUCGACGGGUAGCCGGCCUGAGAGGGCGACCGGCCACACUGGGACUGAGAUACGGCCCAGACUCCUACGGGAGGCAGCAGUGGGGAAUAUUGCGCAAUGGGCGGAAGCCUGACGCAGCAACGCCGCGUGCGGGAUGACGGCCUUCGGGUUGUAAACCGCUUUCAGCAGGGGCGAAGCUUUUGUGACGGUACCUGCAGAAGAAGCACCGGCCACUACGUGCCAGCAGCCGCGGUG